rnacentral:rRNA from 1 species
CAGUCGUACUUACGGGUAAUCAGCCUUUUGGGUGUGAUUUUGUGGAGCGUGAGGAGUUAAACGCCUUCAUGCCUGCAUAUUCGUGCACUUUGGGUGUACUUGCCCGUGUGUAAGUUAACAUCAAUUUUGGUGGUCAUAAAAUGGCUGGAGGAAUGUAGCUUCGAUCUUGUAUUGAAGUGUUAUAGCCUCUGGUAAAUGUGGUGAACGAAACUGAGGAUUGCAACGAAUACCCUUUGGGCUAUCCGUCCGACCUCUGAAAGUUGCUUGGGUGCCGAAAGCUUGCUUACGGUUAUCAAAGUCAAUGGUCAAUAGGUUAGAAUGGGUUAAAUUCGUUAAGGAUGUUGACGUAAUGGCUUUAAACGACCGUCUUAGAAACACGGACCAAGGAGUCUAACAUAUGUGCGAGUGU